CCUGGCCCAUAAGCUACCAUACAAUGCCUUCAAAGAUUUCAAGAAAGCAGAAGAAGGCAUAGAUGACUUUUUACAAGACUUGGAGCGUCAGUGCCUACUCCAAGUAGCUGUCGACAUUAUAGUUGUGCAGGCACUUUGGUGACUCUAGAGAACCUCGGGCCAAUCUCACAUCCACGUGACGGCGACGACGCAUUUGGAUGUCUGCCCUAUCAACUUUUGAUGGACUUUCUGCGCCUACCAUGGUGACCACGAGUAAUGGGGAAUGAGGGUUAGAUUCCGGAAAGGAAGUCUGAGAAAUGGCUACAUCCAAGGAAGGCAGUAGGCGCGCAAAAUUCCCACUCCCGACACAGUGAGGUAGUGACGACAAAUAACAAUACAGAACUCUUUACAGGCCAUGUAAUUGUAAUGAGUCCACUUGAAAUCCUAUAACUAGGAUCAAUUGGAGGUCAAGUCUGGGGCAGAGAAUAUGAGGCGGUGAGCGGGAAGGCCAAAGUUUUGCUGCAGCGCAGACAGG